rnacentral:rRNA from 1 species
UACGGGGGGGGCAAGCGUUGUUCGGAAUUACUGGGCGUAAAGGGCUCGUAGGUGGCCAACUAAGUCAGACGUGAAAUCCCUCAGCUUAACUGGGGAACUGCGUCUGAUACUGCCGUGCUUGAGGACUGGAGAGGAGACUGGAAUUUACGGUGUAGCGGUGAAAUGCGUAGAUAUCGUAAGGAAGACCAGUGGCGAAGGCGGGUCUCUGGACAGUUCCUGACGCUGAGGCACGAAGGUCAGGGGAGCAAACGGG